UCGUGUUUUGUAUAAUGUCUUUUCCCCCCCCACCUCCCCGACGGCUCGCAAAGCGGCAGGUGACAGAUUAUAAAUAAAGCGGCCUGAAAUCCACUGGCCUACUCACUCAAUUGCAGCCGAGGAGAGGAAAAAGGCCUCAAUCACACUCGGGCAGAACAAAGCCAAAACAGAUCAAAAUAAUGUCCUCUCAGGAUACAGUAAUGAAGGUCAAAUUUGUGGAGAAUGAAGCAUUAUAGUCGGAUUCAGUUUCAGAAUUCUAGAUUACUACUUGAGAAACAUGACAUUGUUCACAAUUUUUGGAGAAGGGAUUGAACCCACAACAUUCCAACUAGAAUGAAAGAGGGAUGCCACUAAUCUAAGGAGAAUCUCCAAUUUUCAGGAAUACAAUUUUCAGAAAAGCAAUGAGAAAUCCUGAAGAUUUUGUGAAUGAGAUUAACCAAAACACAGAAGUAAACCAAAGUAAUUUUUAAAAGCACGGUAACAGGCCCUUCCGGCCCAACGAGUCUGCACCGCCCACUUAAACCCAUGUUAACCUACCUGUACAUCUUUG